UAAGCGUGGGUUACCUCACCCAAACCGCUGCCCCUUAUGUGAUCAAGAUGAGGAAAAUAUCCAAGAUCUGCUGGUCGGCUGUGUCUUUGUACGAGAUUUUUGGUUUCAGCUUCUGCACUUCGGCGGUCUUGCGGCACUCUCGCCUCAGCCUACGGACUUCUCCUUUGCUGAGUGGUGGGAGAAGGUUGAGAGACAGGUUUGCGACGAAAUGAGCUACGGCGCUGACCCUAGCAAAGGAAGAAGUCCAGAUGUGGUGCUCUGCUGGUGCAAAAGGCCUCUCCUUGCUCACUAUCAGGGGCGUGGGAUGAACAACAGGGGAGGCUGUGUGGUCAGGUCCUCUUGCUUGUAGGCUUGUUAUGAGCUCAGGAAUUGGUGGUCAGGUCCUGGCUCCGUGGGACAUUUCUGUCCAGCUGGAGUAAGGUGUGUGGUUUGGGUAGGUGUGUGUCUGGGCAUAGUGGCCUGGGAGUGUUGGUGUGAGUUUUGUGUGAGUGUGUUUUCUCUUUGUAUAAGUCUAUAUUAGACUUUUUCUUCUCCUAUAAAUACAAUGAUACGCAGUUCUCCUG